rnacentral:rRNA from 1 species
CAGCACGGGUACUUGUACCUGGUGGCGAGCGGCGGACGGGUGAGUAAUGCCUAGGAAUCUGCCUGGUAGUGGGGGAUAACGCUCGGAAACGGACGCUAAUACCGCAUACGUCCUACGGGAGAAAGCAGGGGACCUUCGGGCCUUGCGCUAUCAGAUGAGCCUAGGUCGGAUUAGCUAGUUGGUGAGGUAAUGGCUCACCAAGGCGACGAUCCGUAACUGGUCUGAGAGGAUGAUCAGUCACACUGGAACUGAGACACGGUCCAGACUCCUACGGGAGGCAGCAGUGGGGAAUAUUGGACAAUGGGCGAAAGCCUGAUCCAGCCAUGCCGCGUGUGUGAAGAAGGUCUUCGGAUUGUAAAGCACUUUAAGUUGGGAGGAAGGGCAGUUACCUAAUACGUAAUUGUUUUGACGUUACCGACAGAAUAAGCACCGGCUAACUCUGUGCCAGCAGCCGCGGUAAUACAGAGGGUGCAAGCGUUAAUCGGAAUUACUGGGCGUAAAGCGCGCGUAGGUGGUUCGUUAAGUUGGAUGUGAAAUCCCCGGGCUCAACCUGGGAACUGCAUUCAAAACUGUCGAGCUAGAGUAUGGUAGAGGGUGGUG